UACGGGGGGGGCAAGCGUUGUUCGGAAUUACUGGGCGUAAAGGGCUCGUAGGUGGCCAACUAAGUCAUACGUGAAAUCCCUCAGCUUAACUGGGGAACUGCGUCUGAUACUGGAUGGCUUGAGUUUGGGAGAGGGAUGCGGAAUUCCAGGUGUAGCGGUGAAAUGCGUAGAUAUCUGGAGGAACACCGGUGGCGAAGGCGGCAUCCUGGACCAACACUGACGCUGAGUGAGCGAAAGCCAGGGGAGCAAACGGG
rnacentral:rRNA from 1 species